AGAACUCUCUGGUAUAUCCGGAAAUGUUUAGAUCUGUUUAUUCAGCUAUCCAAGUGGCUGGUGACCAAGGUUUGUGCAUGAAAGAUAUCUCAAGGAUUCUAAAGAUGCAAGAUAAAAAGCUUUCUGAAGCUGUCAUUGAGGUGCUAGAAGCAUUUGGACGAGUUGUGAAGGUCAAUGCUUACGAUUCUAUUCGGGUGGUUGAUUCUUUAUAUCGUUCCAAGUACUUUUUGAUUCCAGUGGCUGCUAUUCAUGAAGAUGCUACGUCAUCUCCUUAUGAAGAUUCCAAGGCUAAAACAGAUGAGGAGUCUGCUACACAUAAUGGAGAAAAUCAUAAAGAUGUGGAGUUGCA
rnacentral:misc_RNA from 1 species